rnacentral:rRNA from 1 species
GACGAACGCUGGCGGCGUGCUUAACACAUGCAAGUCGAACGAUGAAGCUGGAGCUUGCUCCAGUGGAUUAGUGGCGAACGGGUGAGUAACACGUGAGCAAUCUGCCCUUGACUCUGGGAUAACUGCGGGAAACUGUAGCUAAUACCGGAUACGACACCUUGGGGCAUCCCGAGGUGUGGAAAGAAUUUCGGUCAAGGAUGAGCUCGCGGCCUAUCAGCUAGUUGGUGAGGUAAUGGCUCACCAAGGCGACGACGGGUAGCCGGCCUGAGAGGGUGACCGGCCACACUGGAACUGAGAUACGGUCCAGACUCCUACGGGAGGCAGCAGUGGGGAAUAUUGCACAAUGGGCGCAAGCCUGAUGCAGCAACGCCGCGUGAGGGAUGAAGGCCUUCGGGUUGUAAACCUCUUUUAGCAGGGAAGAAGCGAAAGUGACGGUACCUGCAGAA